UACGUAGGUGGCAAGCGUUAUCCGGAUUUAUUGGGCGUAAAGGGAACGCAGGCGGUCUUUUAAGUCUGAUGUGAAAGCCUUCUGCUUAACCGGAGUAGUGCAUUGGAAACUGGGAGACUUGAGUGCAGAAGAGGAGAGUGGAACUCCAUGUGUAGCGGUGAAAUGCGUAGAUAUAUGGAAGAACACCAGUGGCGAAAGCGGCUCUCUGGUCUGUAACUGACGCUGAGGUUCGAAAGCGUGGGUAGCAAACAGG
rnacentral:rRNA from 1 species